rnacentral:sRNA from 1 species
AAUUUUUAGAAGGAUAUCCGACAC